AUUGAACGCUGGCGGCAGGCCUAACACAUGCAAGUCGAGCGGAUGAAGGGAGCUUGCUCCUGGAUUCAGCGGCGGACGGGUGAGUAAUGCCUAGGAAUCUGCCUGGUCGUGGGGGAUAACGUCCGGAAACGGGCGCUAAUACCGCAUACGUCCUGAGGGAGAAAGUGGGGGAUCUUCGGACCUCACGCUAUCAGAUGAGCCUAGGUCGGAUUAGCUAGUUGGUGGGGUAAAGGCCUACCAAGGCGACGAUCCGUAACUGGUCUGAGAGGAUGAUCAGUCACACUGGAACUGAGACACGGUCCAGACUCCUACGGGAGGCAGCAGUGGGGAAUAUUGGACAAUGGGCGAAAGCCUGAUCCAGCAAUGCCGCGUGUGUGAAGAAGGUCUUCGGAUUGUAAAGCACUUUAAGUUGGGAGGAAGGGCAGUAAGUUAAUACCUUGCUGUUUUGACGGUACCAACAGAAUAAGCACCGGCUAACUUCGUG
rnacentral:rRNA from 1 species